AAUCUGCCCAGAGGUGGGGAAUAACUCUCUGAAAGGAGAGCUAAUACCGCAUAUGCUUUGAGAGAAGCAAAGCUUCGCAAGAGGUGCCUUUGGAGGAGCCUGCGGCUGAUUAGCUAGUUGGUGGGGUAAAAGCCUACCAAGGCGAUGAUCAGUAGCUGGUCUGAGAGGAUGGACAGCCACACUGGGACUGAGAUACGGCCCAG
rnacentral:rRNA from 1 species